GCACAUCCUCUAUUUGUUAUCAGGGUGAUUACAAAUUAUGUUUCCUACAGUAUGAGAAAUUGAUUAUCCAUUUCUCCUGAUUAGGCAGCAGAUGGAUUUUUGUUUGUCGUAGGAUGUGACCGAGGGAAGAUACUCUUUGUCUCAGAGUCUGUCUUCAAGAUCCUCAACUACAGCCAGAAUGAUCUGAUUGGUCAGAGUUUGUUUGACUACCUGCAUCCUAAAGAUAUUGCCAAAGUCAAGGAGCAGCUCUCCUCCUCUGACACCGCACCCCGGGAGCGGCUCAUAGAUGCAAAAACUGGACUUCCAGUUAAAACAGAUAUAACCCCUGGGCCAUCUCGAUUAUGUUCUGGAGCACGACGUUCUUUCUUCUGUAGGAUGAAGUGUAACAGGCCUUCAGUAAAGGUUGAAGACAAGGACU
rnacentral:lncRNA from 1 species